AGUCGUCAACGAGUUUGAUCAUGGCUCGAGGACGAACGCUGGCGGCGUGCUUAACACAUGCAAGUCGAGCGGUAAGGCCCUUCGGGGUACACGAGCGGCGAACGGGUGAGUAACACGUGGGUGAUCUGCCCCGCACUCUGGGAUAAGCCUGGGAAACUGGGUCUAAUACCGGAUAUGACCACCGGUCGCAUGGUUGGUGGUGGAAAGAUUUAUCGGUGCGAGAUGGGCCCGCGGCCUAUCAGCUUGUUGGUGGGGUAAUGGCCUACCAAGGCGACGAUGCGUAGCCGACCUGAGAGGGUGAUCGGCCACAUUGGAACUGAGACACGGUCCAGACUCCUACGGGAGGCAGCAGUGGGGAAUAUUGCACAAUGGGCGAAAGCCUGAUGCAGCAACGCCGCGUGGGUGAUGAAGGUUUUCGGAUCGUAAAGCCCUGUCUUUUGGGACGAUAAUGACGGUACCAAAGGAGGAAGCCACGGCUAACUACGUG
rnacentral:rRNA from 1 species